rnacentral:rRNA from 1 species
CCCCAGACUCCUACGGGAGGCAGCAGUGGGGAAUAUUGCACAAUGGGGGGAACCCUGAUGCAGCGACGCCGCGUGGGUGAAGGAGUAUUUCGGUAUGUAAAGCUCUAUCAGCAGGGAAGAAAGAAAUGACGGUACCUGACUAAGAAGCCCCGGCUAACUACGUGCCAGCAGCCGCGGUAAUACGUAGGGGGCAAGCGUUAUCCGGAUUUACUGGGUGUAAAGGGAGCGUAGACGGCAGUGCAAGUCUGAAGUGAAAGGCGGGGGCCCAACCCCCGGACUGCUUUGGAAACUGUGCUGCUGGAGUGCAGGAGAGGCAAGUGGAAUUCCUAGUGUAGCGGUGAAAUGCGUAGAUAUUAGGAGGAACACCAGUGGCGAAGGCGGCUCGCUGGACUGUAACUGACGUUGAGGCUCGAAAGCGUGGGGAGCAAACAGGAUUA